ACAGAGGUGGCGAGCGUUGUUCGGAUUUACUGGGCGUAAAGAGUGCGUAGGCGGUAUCGUAUGUCGGAUGUGAAAGUCCAUGGCUCAACUGUGGAAAGCCAUCCGAAACUACGGAACUAGAGUGCAGGAGGGGAGAGUGGAAUUCUUGGUGUAGCGGUGAAAUGCGUUGAUAUCAAGAGGAACACCGGUGGCGAAGGCGACUCUCUGGAAUGUAACUGACGCUGAGGCACGAAAGCGUGGGGAGCAAACAGG
rnacentral:rRNA from 1 species